rnacentral:rRNA from 1 species
AUGAACGCUGGCGGCGUGCCUAAUACAUGCAAGUCGAACGAAUCUCUUCGGAGAUGAGUGGCGAACGGGUGAGUAAUACAUAGGUAACCUGCCCCUGUGCGGGGGAUAACAGGAGGAAACUCCUGCUAAUACCGCAUAGCCAUGAGCACCGCAUGGAGCUCAUGCCAAAUAUCCUUUCGGGGAUAGCGCAGGGAUGGACCUAUGGCGCAUUAGCUUGUUGGCGGGGCAACGGCCCACCAAGGCAACGAUGCGUAGCCGGCCUGAGAGGGCGGACGGCCACAUUGGGACUGAGACACGGCCCAGACUCCUACGGGAGGCAGCAGUAGGGAAUUUUCGGCAAUGGGGGAAACCCUGACCGAGCAACGCCGCGUGAGCGAAGAAGGCCUUCGGGUCGUAAAGCUCUGUUGUAAAGGAAGAACGGCGCAUACAGGAAAUGGUAUGCGAGUGACGGUACUUUACCAGAAAGCCACGGCUAACUACGUGCCAGCAGCCGCGGUAAUACGUAGGUGGCGAGCGUUAUCCGGAAUCAUUGGGCGUAAAGAGGGAGCAGGCGGCCGCAAGGGUCUGUGGUGAAAGACCGAAGCUAAACUUCGGUAAGCCAUGGAAACCGGGCGGCUAGAGUGCGGAAGAGGAUCGUGGAAUUCCAUGUGUAGCGGUGAAAUGCGUAGAUAUAUGGAGGAACACCAGUGGCGAAGGCGACGGUCUGGGCCGCAACUGACGCUCAUUCCCGAAAGCGUGGGGAGCAAAUAGGAUUAGAUACCCUAGUAGUCCACGCCGUAAACGAUGGUCACUAAGUGUCGGGGGUCAAACCCCGGUGCUGCAGUCAACGCAAUAAGUGACCCGCCUGAGUAGUACGUUCGCAAGAAUGAAACUCAAAGGAAUUGACGGAA